GAUAUACUCCCUCCGUUCGAAAUUACUUGUCUCGGAAAUGGAUGUAUCUAAAACUAAAAUAUAUCUAGAUACAUACAUUUCUGCGACAAAUAAUUCCGAACGGAGGGAGUAGAUG
rfam:Triticum urartu cultivar G1812 contig357768, whole genome shotgun sequence.